UAGAUUCCCAAGAUCUGUUAGAACAGUUGCCAGCUUUGCAGCAGUUACUGUAUCGGCUUGUUGGAUGUCGGCCAGAAGGAGCUGCGAAUAAUAACUACUUGGUGCAGUAUGCUCUAGCUUUGGUGUUAAAAGAGAGUUUCAAAAUUUAUUGUGCGU